GGCUAGGUAGCUCAGUUGGUACGAGCGUCCGCCUGAAAAGCGGAAGGUCGGCGGUUCGACCCCGCCCCUAGCCACCU
rnacentral:tRNA from 1 species